GAUCAUGGCUCAGGACGAACGCUGGCGGCGUGCCUAACACAUGCAAGUCGAACGGAACUUCUUUAAAGGAUUUCUUCGGAAUGAAUUUGAUUAAGUUUAGUGGCGGACGGGUGAGUAACGCGUGAGUAACCUGCCUCUAAGAGGGGAAUAACAUUCUGAAAAGAAUGCUAAUACCGCAUAAUAUAUAUUUAUCGCAUGGUAGAUAUAUCAAAGAUUUAUCGCUUAGAGAUGGACUCGCGUCCGA
rnacentral:rRNA from 1 species